AGCGAACGCUGGCGGCAGGCCUAACACAUGCAAGCCGAACGAAGUCUUCGGACUUAGUGGCGGACGGGUGAGUACCACGUGGGAACGUGCCUUUAGGUUCGGAAUAACUCAGGGAAACUUGUGCUAAUACCGAAUGUGCCCUUCGGGGGAAAGAUUUAUCGCCUUUAGAGCGGCCCGCGUCUGAUUAGCUAGUUGGUGAGGUAAAGGCUCACCAAGGCUACGAUCAGUAGCUGGUCUGAGAGGAUGACCAGCCACAUUGGGACUGAGACACGGCCCAAACUCCUACGGGAGGCAGCAGUGGGGAAUCUUGCGCAAUGGGCGAAAGCCUGACGCAGCCAUGCCGCGUGGAUGAUGAAGGUCUUAGGAUUGUAAAAUCCUUUCACCGGUGAAGAUAAUGACUGUAGCCGGAGAAGAAGCCCCGGCUAACUUCGUGCCAGCCGCCGCAGUAACAC
rnacentral:rRNA from 1 species